rnacentral:rRNA from 1 species
UAGCUGGUCUGAGAGGAUGAUCAGCCACACUGGGACUGAGAUACGGCCCAGACUCCUACGGGAGGCAGCAGUGGGGAAUUUUGCGCAAUGGGCGAAAGCUUGACGCAGCAACGCCGCGUGAUUGAAGAAGGACUUAGGUUCGUAAAAAUCUGUCGUAAGGGAAGAACAAUUAAUAUUCUAACACAAUAUUAAUCUGACGGUACCUUACAAGAAAGCUCCGGCUAACUUCGUGCCAGCAGCCGCGGUAAUACGAGGGGAGCAAGCGUUGUUCGGAUUUAUUGGGCGUAAAGGGCUCGUAGGCGGAUUGAUCAGUCAAAAUUUAAAUCCAAUGGCUUAACCAUUGACCUGGUUUUGAUACUAUCAAUCUUGAGUUAUAUAGAGGUAAGCGGAAUUCCUGGUGUAGCGGUGAAAUGCGUAGAUAUCAGGAGGAACACCAAAGGCGAAGGCAGCUUACUGGGUAUAAACUGACGCUGAGGAGCGAAAGCGUGGGUAGCAAACAGGAUUAGAGACCCUGGUAGUCCACGCCGUAAACGAUGAGCACUUGGUGGUGGAGGAUUCGACCCCUUCACUGUCGUAGCUAACGCGUUAAGUGCUCCGCCUGGGGACUACGACCGCAAGGUUGAAACUCAAAGAAAUUGACGGGGACCCGCACAAGCGGUGGAUUAUGUGGUUUAAUUCGAUGCAACGCGAAGAACCUUACCUGGAUUUGACAUAUUUUUGAAAGCUCUGUGAAAGCAGAGCCCUUUUUGCGCUUGCGUAAAAACAAUUAUACAGGUGAUGCAUGGCUGUCGUCAGCUCGUGUCGUGAGAUGUUCGGUUAAGUCCGAUAACGAGCGCAACCCCUAUCUUUAGUUGCCAGCACGUAAUGGUGGGGACUCUAGAGAAACUGCCCGGGAUAACCGGAAGGAAGGUGGGGUC